UACGUAGGGUGCAAGCGUUGUCCGGAAUUAUUGGGCGUAAAGAGCUCGUAGGCGGUUUGUCGCGUCUGCUGUGAAAACCCGAGGCUCAACCUCGGGCCUGCAGUGGGUACGGGCAGACUAGAGUGCGGAAGGGGCAACUGGAAUUCUCGGUGUAGCGGUGAAAUGCGCAGAUAUCAGGAGGAACACCGGUGGCGAAGGCGGGUCUCUGGGCCGAUACUGACGCUGAGGAGCGAAAGCGUGGGGAGCGAACAGG
rnacentral:rRNA from 1 species